rnacentral:rRNA from 1 species
AUAAACGCUGGCGGCGCACAUAAGACAUGCAAGUCGAACGAACUUAACCAUUAGUUUACUAUUGGAGCGGUUAGUGGCGGACUGGUGAGUAACACGUAAGCAACCUGCCUAUCAGAGGGGAACAACAGUUAGAAAUGACUGCUAAUACCGCAUAUGCCUUAGAAUCACAUGGUUCAAAAGGGAAAGGAGCAAUCCGCUGAUAGAUGGGCUUGCGUCUGAUUAGCUAGUUGGUGGGGUAACGGCCUACCAAGGCGACGAUCAGUAGCCGAACUGAGAGGUUGAACGGCCACAUUGGGACUGAGAUACGGCCCAGACUCCUACGGGAGGCAGCAGUCGGGAAUAUUGCGCAAUGGAGGAAACUCUGACGCAGUGACGCCGCGUGCAGGAAGAAGGUUUUCGGAUUGUAAACUGCUUUAGACAGGGAAGAACAAAGACAGUACCUGUAGAAUAAGCUCCGGCUAACUACGUGCCAGCAGCCGCGGUAAUACGUAGGGAGCGAGCGUUAUCCGGAUUUAUUGGGUGUAAAGGGUGCGUAGACGGGAAGUCAAGUUAGUUGUGAAAUCCCUCGGCUUAACUGAGGAACUGCAACUAAAACUGAUUUUCUUGAGUACUGGAGAGGAAAGUGGAAUUCCUAGUGUAGCGGUGAAAUGCGUAGAUAUUAGGAGGAACACCGGUGGCGAAGGCGACUUUCUGGACAGAAACUGACGUUGAGGCACGAAAGUGUGGGGAGCAAACAGGAUUAGAUACCCUGGUAGUCCACACCGUAAACGAUGGAUACUAGGUGUAGGAGGUAUCGACCCCUCCUGUGCCGGAGUUAACGCAAUAAGUAUCCCGACUGGGAAGUACGAUCGCAAGAUUAAAACUCAAAGGAAUUGACGGGGGCCCGCACAAGCAGUGGAGUAUGUGGUUUAAUUCGACGCAACGCGAAGAACCUUACCAAGUCUUGACAUCCUGUGACGAUGCUAGAAAUAGUAUUUUCCUUCGGGACGCAGAGACAGGUGGUGCAUGGUUGUCGUCAGCUCGUGUCGUGAGAUGUUGGGUUAAGUCCCGCAACGAGCGCAACCCCUGUUUCCAGUUGCCAGCACAUAAAGGUGGGGACUCUGGAGAGACUGCCGGUGAUAAAUCGGAGGAAGGUGGGGACGACGUCAAAUCAUCAUGCCCUUUAUGUCCUGGGCUACACACGUACUACAAUGGCUAUAACAAAGAGAAGCGAGACCGCGAGGUGGAGCAAAACUCAAAAAAGUAGUCUCAGUUCGGAUUGUAGACUGAAAUUCGUCUACAUGAAGCUGGAAUUGCUAGUAAUGGCAGGUCAGCAUACUGCCGUGAAUACGUUCCCGGGCCUUGUACACACCGCCCGUCACACCAUGAGAGUUGGGAAUACCCGAAGCCUGUAAGCUAACGCAAGAGGCAGCAGUCGAAGGUAGAAUCAAUGAUUGGGGUG